CGGAGUCUGGGGAGAGUUCGAUCCCGUCCCAAACCCGGAAUGCUGAGCAGGACCUUUCCUGUUUAACAACGUCGAGGGAGAAAAACUCGGUUCCUAAUAAAAUCUACGCCUACGGUCAGGUGGGCCACGCCCAUUUUCAGUGAGCAAGACCUGAGGAGAUGGUGGCAAGGAAAAACUCCCUGAGAUGACAUGAGGAAGAAACCUUGACAGGAACCAGACUCAGAUGGGAACCUCAUCCUCAUCUGAUGGACACUGGACUGUAAAUAAUGUAACUAAUGUCCUUUCUACAACAGUUUAUAAUCACGUGGAAUUGUGCAACCCAGAGCUCCUGAGGAACUGAAAGUGAUAUCAUUCAAGACCAAUUUUCUGAAGUGUAUUAACGUACUGCAUCUCCACCUGGUACACCAGCAGCUCAGAGGUGGACAAGAAAGCCCUCCAGGGGGUGAUGUGAUCAACUCGACUGCUCUCUGCCUUCCUUAAAGGAACCUUAUACAGUAUGUUGCCUUAAAAUGACAGCAAACAUCCUACUGUAAAAAGGCCCUUCUCAUUCUGGACAUCACAUAUUUAAACUGCUGCCCCUUGGCAAACGAUUCAGGUCCAUCACUUCACGAACCGAAUAGACCUAACAACAGCUUCUACCUCAGAAACAUACAGGAGCUAAACGCUGCACUUAACAUACACAUAAGGUGAAGGAUCGCAACAAUUCUGAUCCAGUAUUUUACAUUCUGCAGCACUUUAUAUCUAUAUUAUCUGACAUGUUUACAUGCCGUGACACUUUAAUACCCUCUCAUUAUAUGCAAAUCCCC